AGGGCAAGCUUCGUAUUGAUAGAGAACAUCUUUGGGGGGGGACUUCUCUGCGGUGGGUGCAGAAAGGGCAAACUUUGCAUUGAUAGAGGAAUUCGUACUUGUACCUGUGCCCAUCAUUGCAGCUUGAACCACCCUGUUCUCAGCCGUUGCGCCGACGGUUAUGGCGGCGGUGACGCCUCGGGUCAGGGUAGCGAGUCCGUUGAUUGUCCUCGUCGUUACCCAAUAAAUAUGUGUUUGGUUACAGGGAGAAUUGACAAGGCCUUCGAGGUAAAAGGCUAUAAUUUUCGAGCGCGGCACGGUCUAUUUCUUGGCUUAUGAUUAAAUUCUGGGAAAAAGUCAUCCAAUUCCUCAUGACUUGACUUCUGUAGAUCGUUAACAUAGUCAUUCAUCCAUUCUCGAACUUCUUUCUCCUCCCUUAACAGGUUUAAUAUCUGGCUUGCUUUUGGACGUAAUCUGGGCGACUGUUUGAUACAAAGGGUUGCUGCAAGAACCAUUCUGUGCAUUUGAACAGUGUCAAAUUCCCCAUCCAACAUCGGAUCCACUAAUUCUUCAACUUUCCCACUCUCUAGUAAUGGCAUUGCCCACAUCACCAAGCUUUCCUGUCCUUUUAUACCUUCUGAACUAAUUGGCUUCUUUCCUGUUAACAAUUCUAGGAGAACUAUUCCGAAAGAGUAUAUAUCAAUUUUGUCACUGACCCUUCCAUGCAUAAAAUAUUCUGGAGCUAUAUACCCAAAAGUUCCAACAAUGUCACUGCUUGUCAUGUAGGCUGUAUCUUCAGGUCCCCAUGUCGCAAGCCCGAAAUCCGAUAACUGUGGCUGAAAAUCAUCAGAGAGGAGAAUGUUAGAGGACUUCACAUCUCUGUGAAUAAUUGAGCGAGAACAUCCAUUGUGCAGGUAAUUUAGAGCCUCAGCAACUGCAAUGGCCACUUUGAACCUCACUUUCCAGGGCAAUAUAGACUUCUCAUUGUAACCUUUUAAUCUUCUCUCUAAGCUUCCUUUGGACAGGAAAUCAUAUACCAAAAUUAGAUGAUCAUCUUCAAUGCAUACACCUAUCAGAUGUAUAAUGUGCUUGUGCUUUAAUGAAGACAUAAUGUCUACUUCCAAGGAGAAGUCAUUCCAAGCUUCCUUGUACUGUUUUAGAAUCUUUACCGCCACUAGCUUGCCUCUACGAAGGCUUCCUUUAUAUACAUUGCUGCAUCCUCCUUCUCCAAUCAAGUUUUCUGAGGAAAAUUUAUGAGUUACUCUCUCAAGCUCCUCAUAGCUGAACUGCUUGCAGCCAGAUGAAUUCAGUCUGAGGACAAGCUCCUGCUUCAUUGGCAGCACUCUUUGUCUUGCUAAACCUUCCACUUCUUUGAAAGGCAAAUUAAUUUGGGAUUUAGGGGUAGCUUGUGUUGAUUGAUUAGGUAUACUCAUCUCAGAUUCUGCCAAAGAGUCUAUAGUUGUAGAAGUCUUUAUGCGAAGGAGUGGCCAACCAAGUGUAAACUGUGUCGAUUCUCCUGUAAAUUCAGAAAAUGAACUCGAAGGGAUUUCCUGCGUAAGACCAGACUGCUCAUCUUCUCUAAUGCUGCUUCCAUCAACUGAUCUAUUUUCAGAGGAACUAACCACUUGGACACUAGUUCCCUCAUUAUUUACAUUGGAAUCUUCUGUUUUCCCAUCCAAGUAUAUGUUGGCUUCAACAGAAUGUGAAUCAUUUUGGUUUUCCAUUAUCAUUUCAAAGGAUCGAGUAGGUAGAUUCAUGACCCAUUCUAUCAGGGACAUGCUUCUUGCUUUUGAUCUUCUCAAUGCUUCUUUAGUUCUUGGAAGAAGGGGCCAACCAAGAGUUGAUUCUGGCAGCUCUCUUCUGAUUACAGAAAUCGAUUUCAGAGGAACUUUCUCCUUGCAUCCAUUUCCAUCUUUUAAGCUAGCACUAUCAUUUCUUGAAAAUUCUUCAGAGCUAUGAAUUUCACAGGAUUUGAUUUCACUGAAGGCAGGGUCUCCGCCUUCUCUUGAACUAGUAUGGUUUUCAUCAAGAUCAAAAUUAGGCCCCGAAUUCAACUUGAAGCCUCCAAUCUGGCUAAGCAAACUCCUCGUAAGGACCAUCUUCCCAUCAUGGACUGACUGAAGCAUGAUCAUUUCUGGCAAUUGACCAGCAACACAUCUAGACAGCGAAAGCUGUUUCCACGAAGAGUUCUCCAGGUUUGUUUCCACAGCUACUGCCAUGGCUGCACGAUGCUUCUUCACUCUCCUCAGAACCUUCUGAGCAGCACUUGAUUGUGAAAUUGAACCAUCCUUUUUCACUAAUCUUUUGCAGCAACAUUCUAAAUGACCUCUUGUCAUUAAACUGCCUUGAAAAUCAUGAUAUUGAUCUGUAUCUGAAAGAAGAUGAGCCAAGUUGAACAUGUGGUCUAGCUCGGAGACUUGCACAGCAAGCUCAGAGUCAAGACAUUCUGAAGAAUGAGUACCCAUUAGAAUACCAUGAAAGGCCUGCUUCCUUUUCCUCCACUUCUUUAAUGGAAUUCCCUUUCUGAUCAUUGUUUCUCCUGGCAUAAAACUCUCCAUCUCCAAUCUCUCUUUAAGCUUCAUAUAAAACUGCUAGUUUCAUAAUUCCAGAACAUGUGGGCUGCUGUGGCCAUUGAAUAUUAAUACCAAAAACAACAACCAACUGAGAUUUACAGUAAGAGACAAGCUAAAUAAAUAAACAAAUCCAUUGAACAGAUGGUAAAAAAGAAUAGAUAGAUAGGCGGACACGGAGAUUGGCUACAGGCUAUUUUUGAACAUUUGACCCAUUUAUAUUCUUGUUUUCAUCUAAUCCUACCAAACAUCUCCUAGAAAAUGGCCUGAAACGCCUGACAGUGCAAGCAGAUUCGGCACACCUAUUAAGACUAGUGGAG
rnacentral:misc_RNA from 1 species